AUUCCAUGAUGAGGACAUCUCCGAAGAAGGUCCUUGAACCUCUUCCAUGCAUCUGAAAUCACUUCGUCAUCUCCUUGCUAAAACAUUAAAAUUUCAUUUCAGGGCUU